rnacentral:tRNA from 1 species
AGCGUCACGCCGGUAGAACGGACUACUUUGAUGAAGUAGAUUGAGGGCUUAACCCCUGACGCCU